rnacentral:rRNA from 1 species
UACAGAGGGGGCAAGCGUUGUUCGGAAUUACUGGGCGUAAAGGGCGCGUAGGCGGCCCGCUAAGUCGAACGUGAAAUCCCCGAGCUCAACUCGGGAACUGCGUCCGAUACUGGCGGGCUUGAAUCCGGGAGAGGGAUGCGGAAUUCCAGGUGUAGCGGUGAAAUGCGUAGAUAUCGAGAGGAACACCUGCGGCGAAGGCAGGUUGCUGGGCUGACACUGACGCUGAUGUGCGAAAGCUAGGGGAGCGAACGGG